UUUUGCUCCCAGGUCAAAUCUUCAAUAUCCACAUUUCCUUGAAUAUCCGUCCUGAAGAAUUUCAAAGGCAAAAUGGCCAAAAAAAGAAAAUAAAGAACAUGUUCAAAGAUACUACAAUGACAUUCUAUGGAACAAAUGAUCUAGUCUCUUUAAUAAGUCUCUGUCUUGAAAAAAGGAAAUCUACUAAGAAUACCUACUAAGCCCCACACACAGUGCUAAGCACAGGGGUUAUAAAGACAGGAAGGCAGGAAGCCCAAUUGAAAAUUCCCAGUCUCCCUUGCAGUUCAGCAAAGCUAUGUAACUAAGUUCUGGUCAAUGAAAUCUUGAUGAGAUAAAAUUGACAUAUAAAAUGGU